CAGAGAAUAGUUUAUAAAAAAUUUUAAUUUUGGAGAUUAAAGAUAGGAAACUUUUUCUUUCUCUGA
rnacentral:tRNA from 1 species